rnacentral:rRNA from 1 species
AACGCUAGCUACAGGCUUAACACAUGCAAGUCGAGGGGCAGCGGGAUUGAAGCUUGCUUCAAUUGCCGGCGACCGGCGCACGGGUGAGUAACGCGUAUCCAACCUUCCGUACACUCAGGGAUAGCCUUUCGAAAGAAAGAUUAAUACCUGAUGGUAUGAUGAGAUUGCAUGAUAGCAUCAUUAAAGAUUUAUCGGUGUACGAUGGGGAUGCGUUCCAUUAGGUAGUGGGCGGGGUAACGGCCCACCUAGCCAACGAUGGAUAGGGGUUCUGAGAGGAAGGUCCCCCACAUUGGAACUGAGACACGGUCCAAACUCCUACGGGAGGCAGCAGUGAGGAAUAUUGGUCAAUGGACGAGAGUCUGAACCAGCCAAGUAGCGUGAAGGAUGAAGGUCCUACGGAUUGUAAACUUCUUUUAUAAGGGAAUAAACCCUCCCACGUGUGGGAGCUUGUAUGUACCUUAUGAAUAAGCAUCGGCUAACUCCGUGCCAGCAGCCGCGGUAAUACGGAGGAUGCGAGCGUUAUCCGGAUUUAUUGGGUUUAAAGGGAGCGCAGACGGGUCGUUAAGUCAGCUGUGAAAGUUUGGGGCUCAACCUUAAAAUUGCAGUUGAUACUGCCGUCCUUGAGUGCGGUUGAGGUGUGCGGAAUUCGUGGUGUAGCGGUGAAAUGCUUAGAUAUCACGAAGAACUCCGAUUG